CUGAGUCAGUACAGGACUGAGUCCGUGUACCGUCGCUUGCAGGAUGAACGGUCGUUCAUAAAAAAAUAUUGCCUAUUCGCGUGAGAAUCUUCGAUGUUUGCCAAGAGCACUUGACAGGUUUUGAUCUGAUUUUAAUCUGUUGAAGAACCAGAUCCAUGCUUUGAAACCACCAAAUGAUCAUAAAUGAUCAUCAAAAACAUUGAACUUUCUCGGUAAAAACAUUGAACUUUGUUAUGAGAAUAGACAAUACUUUAAUGCGACCGUUCAUCCUUAUUGCAUUCAGGAAAUGAGUCCGCCUUUUACAAAUUGACCAUUUGCGUAAUAGACUAAAUUUUGAACUAAACAAGUCUAGACAAAAAUUUCAUCACAGCUUGAAGGAG